GAUGAACGCUGGCGGCGUGCCUAAUACAUGCAAGUCGAGCGAACAGACGAGGAGCUUGCUCCUCUGACGUUAGCGGCGGACGGGUGAGUAACACGUGGAUAACCUACCUAUAAGACUGGGAUAACUUCGGGAAACCGGAGCUAAUACCGGAUAAUAUAUUGAACCGCAUGGUUCAAUAGUGAAAGACGGUUUUGCUGUCACUUAUAGAUGGAUCCGCGCCGCAUUAGCUAGUUGGUAAGGUAACGGCUUACCAAGGCAACGAUGCGUAGCCGACCUGAGAGGGUGAUCGGCCACACUGGAACUGAGACACGGUCCAGACUCCUACGGGAGGCAGCAGUAGGGAAUCUUCCGCAAUGGGCGAAAGCCUGACGGAGCAACGCCGCGUGAGUGAUGAAGGCCUUCGGAUCGUAAAACUCUGUUAUUAGGGAAGAACAAAUGUGUAAGUAACUAUGCACGUCUUGACGGUACCUAAUCAGAAAGCCACGGCGAACUACGU
rnacentral:rRNA from 1 species